GCGCGGCCCCCGCCGAGUCCGUCACUGUCCGCCGUGGCAGCCGGAGCCGGGGACCCACCGAGACUUGGGGUGAAUCGGCCCACUCUUCGGAGCGGCCGUAGGGCAACCCUUCCGAUCAAGACACCCGCCCGAACCCGACAGCUAACCCGGUAGGCGGAGCACUGGAAGGAGUC
rnacentral:sRNA from 2 species